GGAAUUUUACUGAAUUAUUCUCACAUUUAAUUAAUCAGUACUAUAGUGCUUUCCAGUCAGAAUUACUGAUAAUCCCCUAAGGCUGUUUUUGAUUUUACUACGACUGUCUGACAACCAAACAAGUGCACGCUGUAUUUGAAGUAAGGGUAGCAUAUAAACGUCGCCCAUGGAAGCGCGUUAAAAAUGAUCUGCGGAAAACAUUCACCUUUCCCUGUCAUUACAUCGUCUGUAACCCUGAAUUCACGCAUGCCGAGUUCAUACGAACCAAUGGAUCGUCCUACAGUAACCUAUAGAGUGGCAUGGCUGUUAUAUUCCGUUGCGUAACAGGUAGAAAAAAAAGGCUUCUCUCGCUUUUGUUUCCCGCAACAGAAGGCCGCCUCAAUUGUUAGGUCACUGUUGGAAACGCGCGGGUACGAAACACAAUCGAUGGCACAGUAAAGGGGGCAUGGUUGCUGAAGGGUUCAAGCCCGAUGUAAAGACACUCGAGACAAAACACAUCGGACUAAAAUAGAUAUUGGCUUGUUCUUCACGCUGACGAGACACAGAAAGACAUACUUCGCCGAAGAUGACAUGUCAGCCCUGGACUGUUGGCAGCUGACCAAGCAAUAAGCCUCAGCUUUACACUACACUACCGCAGCAAAUUUAGAAUGCUGUUAUGGAGAAGAUCUAAAGGUACUACCAAAGUUUCAAAGUAUAAAACAGCUUCUGAAAAAAUCGCAAGAGUGAAAACAAUUGGACAGUGCAACAAUGUAUGAAAUUUCCAAUCAGAAAAAAAAGUCACUGAACUAUAACCGUUAAACAAAUACAAAUUUUAUGCUUUUUCUGUGUCACUUGUCGAAUAUAUAGACAAUUUUAAUAUAUAUAUAUAUAAACUUUAUCAUGUUUUAAAUUUUCUUUAGUAUUUUAGAAACUAGAAACUGUCCAGGUUGAGUGAUGGGAAAUUCCAUGUAAUGUCACACAACCAAUUUUUCGGGGUUGAAUUUGCAGUUUUUAUCACAGAUUUUUUUUAGAAGCUAUGUCCUUGUUUAAAACUUUGUUGGUAGUGGUACCUCGUACCUUUACAUCACAUUUAAGCGUUUUUAUCAAUACACAAAUUUUGAUUUUU